GACGAACGCUGGCGGCGUGCUUAACACAUGCAAGUCGAACGGGAUUUAGUAAACAGAAGCCUCGGUGGAAGAUUACUAAUGAGAGUGGCGAACGGGUGAGUAACGCGUGAGCAACCUGCCUAUGACAGUGGGAUAGCCUCGGGAAACCGGGAUUAAUACCGCAUAAAAUCGUAGAAACACAUGUUUUAACGGUCAAAGAUUUAUCGGUCAUAGAUGGGCUCGCGUCUGAUUAGCUAGUUGGUGAGAUAACAGCCCACCAAGGCGACGAUCAGUAGCCGGUCUGGGAGGCAGAACCGCCACCAUUGAACUGGGACACGGUCCCAAAUCCUACGGGAGGCAGCAGUGGGGAAUAUUGCACAAUGGGGGAAACCCUGAUGCAGCGACGCCGCGUGAACGAAGAAGGUAUUCGUAUCGUAAAGUUCUGUCCUAUGGGAAGAUAAUGACAGUACCAUAGAAGAAAGCUCCGGCUAAAUACGUG
rnacentral:rRNA from 1 species